AAUGGUUUCGACGGGGGCAAGUUGCUCCUGGGAAGCGAGUCGAAGGGAUCCUGUACCUGCGUUAAAAAACUGGGAAUUUAAAUAUAAUUGCAAACGAUAAUUUUGCAUUAGCUGCCUAAUAGUUGCAGCUCGUCAGCCUAAGAGUCCCACGACUUAGGGUCUGGCGUCGACAGUGGGGAACCGAGCCUUACAAAGCUUUGAGUAAGGAACGGAAUUAAUGAAGCUACUGAAUCUAAGAGCCUGUUUAUCAGCGCUUAGAGGAGGGAAUGUAAAAGGAUAAACUGCACUCGGAGAUGCCCAGGGGUUGCUGCUUUCGGACAGGGGUUCGAUUCA
rnacentral:tmRNA from 1 species